CACUUGACAUUUACAAACAGCAAACCACGCGACCUGGGCCCACAUUAUGCGGCAAAACCUGACCCUGAGUUGUCUGCAGAGGCAAGGGAAACAGACAGGAAGAGAAGGAACCUUGAGAGAGAUAGGGAUGCCUCCUUCCAGAGACGCUAGUAUUAAGGUGCAAAACAGGCUUGUCCUACUCCUAAGGCUGCUACAACCAAGCAAAGCAGAAAUGAAAGGUGUGUGAAUGGAGGCGGUGGAUGGCAUGGUAAAAGAGACGGGGAUUCUCCAGCCAAUUCUGGGUCGGUAACAGGCAGUGGAGCUGAUGUGAUAUCGUACCAGAUAUAUCAGCAGAAAACACACAGGGGAAAUGGAUUGGACACAGACGGGUGGUUCCCUUGCAAUGCUUUGCAAUGAUUUGUUGAUACGUCACCCGCCCCCUUUUUCA
ensembl:lncRNA